UGACCUCAGAUCAGGUAGGGAUACCCGCUGAACUUAAGCAUAUCAAUAAGC
rnacentral:rRNA from 1 species